rnacentral:rRNA from 1 species
AACGCGAAGAACCUUACCAGGUCUUGACAUCCAACUAACGAAGCAGAGAUGCGUUAGGUGCCCUUCGGGGAAAGUUGAGACAGGUGGUGCAUGGUUGUCGUCAGCUCGUGUCGUGAGAUGUUGGGUUAAGUCCCGCAACGAACGCAACCCCUGCCAUUAGUUGCUACGCAAGAGCACUCUAAUGGGACCGCUACCGACAAGGUGGAGGAAGGUGGGGACGACGUCAAAUCAUCAUGCCCCUUAUGACCUGGGCUACACACGUAAUACAAUGGCCGUUUAACAGCAGGAAGCGAAGGCGCGAGCCGGAGCAAACCCCCAAAAACGGUCUCAGUUCGGAUCGCAGGCUGAAACCCGCCUGCGUGAAGUUGGAAUUGCCAGUAAUCGCGAAUCAGCAUGUCGCGGUGAAUACGUUCCCGGGCCUUGUACACACCG